rfam:Camelus ferus unplaced genomic scaffold scaffold340, whole genome shotgun sequence.
GGGGGUAUAGCUCAGCAGUAGAGUGCAUGCCUGGCAUGCACAAGAUCCUGGGUUCAAUACCCAGUACGUCCA